rnacentral:misc_RNA from 1 species
AACGCACCUUGCGCUCCCCGGUAUUCCGAGGAGCAUGCCUGUUUGAGUGUCUUGAAGUCAUCAACCGUCACCGUUUGAACGCGGGGACGGGUUGGACCUGGGGUUGUGCCGCUGCGAGGCGGCUCCCUUCAAAUGCAUCGGUUGGACCUGUGGGUCGAACUCGACUGGGCGUUGUAACAUCCUCGCUCUACCGAGAGGUUCCCCCUUUGGCGUCCUCCCACGACUCGCCUGUGGAGCGGCGGUCAAUUUGCUCUGAAAUCUGACCUCAAAUCAGGUAGGACUACCCGCUGAACUUAA